rnacentral:rRNA from 1 species
UACAGAGGGGGCAAGCGUUGUUCGGAAUUACUGGGCGUAAAGGGCGCGUAGGCGGCCUGUUAAGUCGAACGUGAAAUCCCUAGGCUCAACCUAGGAACUGCGUCCGAUACUGGCAGGCUUGAAUCCGGGAGAGGGAUGCGGAAUUCCAGGUGUAGCGGUGAAAUGCGUAGAUAUCUGGAGGAACACCGGUGGCGAAGGCGGCAUCCUGGACCGGUAUUGACGCUGAGGCGCGAAAGCCAGGGGAGCAAACGGG